UGGGGAAUUUUCCGCGAUGGGCGAAAGCCUGACGGAGCAAUACCGCGUGAGGGAGGAAGGCUUUUGGGCUGUAAACCUCUUUUCUCAAGGAAGAACACAAUGACGGUACUUGAGGAAUCAGCAUCGGCUAACUCCGUGCCAGCAGCCGCGGUAAUACGGAGGAUGCAAGCGUUAUCCGGAAUUAUUGGGCGUAAAGCGUCCGCAGGUGGCAAUUCAAGUCUGCUGUCAAAGACCGAAACUCAACUUCGGGUAGGCGGUGGAAACUGAGUUGCUAGAGUACGGUAGGGGUAGAGGGAAUUUCCAGUGUAGCGGUGAAAUGCGUAGAGAUUGGAAAGAACACCAGUGGCGAAGGCGCUCUACUGGACCGAGACUGACACUCAGGGACGAAAGCUAGGGGAGCGAAAGGGAUUAGAUACCCGCGUAGUCC
rnacentral:rRNA from 1 species